AUUGAACGCUGGCGGCAUGCUUUACACAUGCAAGUCGAACGGCAGCGCGGGCUUCGGCCUGGCGGCGAGUGGCGAACGGGUGAGUAAUGCAUCGGAACGUGCCCAGUAGUGGGGGAUAGCCCGGCGAAAGCCGGAUUAAUACCGCAUACGACCUGAGGGUGAACGCGGGGGACCGAAAGGCCUCGCGCUAUUUGAGCGGCCGAUGUCGGAUUAGCUAGUUGGUAGGGUAAAGGCUUACCAAGGCGACGAUCCGUAGCUGGUCUGAGAGGACGACCUGCCACACUGGGACUGAGACACGGCCCAGACUCCUACGGGAGGCAGCAGUGGGGAAUUUUGGACAAUGGGGGAAACCCUGAUCCAGCCAUGCCGCGUGCGGGAAGAAGGCCUUCGGGUUGUAAACCGCUUUUGUUCGGGAAGAAAUCCUCUGGGCUAAUACCCCGGGGGGAUGACGGUACCGGAAGAAUAAGCACCGGCUAACUACGUG
rnacentral:rRNA from 1 species